rfam:Peptococcaceae bacterium BRH_c23 BRHa_1000724, whole genome shotgun sequence.
AUUUCCGACAGUAAAAUUCCUGAUGCUCAGAUAGGGUAUGAAUACACUUUAAAUGCCUUGCUAGGAGCCCUGUCAGGAGCCAGUAUUGUUUACGGAGCGG